rnacentral:lncRNA from 1 species
AUCCAUCUGCCAUUUACUGCUGCAGAGCCCCGCAGUUCCAAAGGGCCAGGGUGUGUGUGAUACCUACUGCUGCAUCCCACCAACAGCGUGAGAAUACUCACAAGGUCUUGAGAGCAGGCAGUAUUUCCCACAUCCCUCCCUCCUCCUCUCACUCACAUAGCUUUACUGCUUCUCCGUUUCUCCUUCCCCUCUCUCGUCUCUUUGCUACUUCAUGCUUACUCUAGAGAAUGUCUAGCUUCAGUUUCCGUUUGUCCACCGGCCGUUCUGUGCUCCCAUACUCAGGCACUGUAACUGAUUCCAAGCACGUCUCUAUGGCUUCUGUGGAAUGACUCACUGCUCACAGGAGUGCUGCUGGCUGAGCUUCAGAAGGAGAGGAAAUGUUGUCAGCCUGACAAAUUCUGGAGUCACCUGGGAGAUGGGCCCCUGGACAUGCCUGGGGGACGAUCUUGAUUAGAUCACUAAUGAGGAAGACCCAGCUUGCUUUCCGGUGAGACCAUUCCCUGGGGAGGGGACCCUGGACUGUAUGAAAUGGAAACAGUGGACUGAGCACUGGCAUGCUCUCUACUGAUCGAUUAUUUGACCAGCUGCUACUUCAAGCUCCUACACCUUUAAGUCUCCCCAUGACAAACAGCAUCUCAAUAACACUUUCCUUCCUGAAGUUGCUCUUGAUGUAGUAUUCUAUCGUAGCAACCGAAAAAGAAGCUAAAACUAUUCAGAACAAUGAAUGCAAUAAGAACAUAGAAGGCAAGGCAAAGAUCCUAGAGACCCUGGGUAGAUCUUCAUGUGCCACGUGCAAAGGCACUGGGGUGAGCGAACUGCCGGAUGGAGAGUUCAAGCACAUCCGCUUUAAAACAAGUGGUAAAUGACCACAGCAAGCAGACGAGCCACGC